rnacentral:rRNA from 1 species
ACGCUCGACACCUACGGGAAGCAGCAGUGGGGAAUAUUGCACAAUGGGGGAAACCCUGAUGCAGCGACGCCGCGUGAAGGAAGAAGUAUCUCGGUAUGUAAACUUCUAUCAGCAGGGAAGAAAGUGACGGUACCUGACUAAGAAGCCCCGGCUAACUACGUGCCAGCAGCCACGGUAAUCUGAGCGGGCUGGCAAGGC